AGGACGAACGCUGGCGGCGUGCUUAACACAUGCAAGUCGAACGAUGAACCUGGAGCUUGCUCUAGGGAAUUAGUGGCGAACGGGUGAGUAACACGUGAGUAACCUGCCCUUGACUCUGGGAUAACCUCCGGAAACGGAAGCUAAUACCGGAUAUGACGCACGGAGGCAUCUCCUGUGCGUGGAAAGAACUUCGGUCAAGGAUGGACUCGCGGCCUAUCAGGUAGUUGGUGAGGUAACGGCUCACCAAGCCUACGACGGGUAGCCGGCCUGAGAGGGUGACCGGCCACACUGGGACUGAGACACGGCCCAGACUCCUACGGGAGGCAGCAGUGGGGAAUAUUGCACAAUGGGCGCAAGCCUGAUGCAGCAACGCCGCGUGAGGGACGACGGCCUUCGGGUUGUAAACCUCUUUUAGUAGGGAAGAAGCGAAAGUGACGGUACCUGCAGAAAAAGCACCGGCUAACUACGUGCCAGCAGCCGCGGUAAUACGUAGGGUGCGAGCGUUGUCCGGAAUUAUUGGGCGUAAAGAGCUCGUAGGCGGUCUGUCGCGUCUGCUGUGAAAACCCGAGGCUCAACCUCGGGCCUGCAGUGGGUACGGGCAGACUAGAGUGCGGUAGGGGAGAAUGGAAUUCCUGGUGUAGCGGUGGAAUGCGCAGAUAUCAGGAGGAACACCGAUGGCGAAGGCAGUUCUCUGGGCCGUAACUGACGCUGAGGAGCGAAAGCGUGGGGAGCGAACAGGAUUAGAUACCCUGGUAGUCCACGCCG
rnacentral:rRNA from 1 species